AACGAACGCUGGCGGCAUGCCUAACACAUGCAAGUCGAACGAGACCUUCGGGUCUAGUGGCGCACGGGUGCGUAACGCGUGGGAACCUGCCCUUAGGUUCGGAAUAACUCCCCGAAAGGGGUGCUAAUACCGGAUAAUGUCUUCGGACCAAAGAUUUAUAGCCUUUGGAUGGGCCCGCGUUGGAUUAGCUAGUUGGUAGGGUAAAAGCCUACCAAGGCGACGAUCCAUAGCUGGUCUGAGAGGAUGAUCAGCCACACUGGGACUGAGACACGGCCCAGACUCCUACGGGAGGCAGCAGUGGGGAAUAUUGGACAAUGGGCGAAAGCCUGAUCCAGCAAUGCCGCGUGAGUGAUGAAGGCCUUAGGGUUGUAAAGCUCUUUUACCCGGGAUGAUAAUGACAGUACCGGGAGAAUAAGCUCCGGCUAACUCCGUG
rnacentral:rRNA from 1 species